rnacentral:rRNA from 1 species
CCUGCCCAGUGACAAGAUUUAACGGCCGCGGUACCCUAACCGUGCGAAGGUAGCAUAAUCACUUGUUCUUUAAAUGAGGACCAGUAUCAACGGCAUCACGAGGAUCUUACUGUCUCCCCCCCCCAAUCAGUGAAACUGAUCUCUCCGUGAAGAAGCGGGGAUAUCUACAUAAGACGAGAAGACCCCAUGGAGCUUUAAACCCGAUGACACCCACUUACUCUAUACCCUCACAUACUUUUGGCUACUGCUUACUCGGUUUUAGGUUGGGGUGACCACGGAGUACAAAACAACCUCCAUGAAGAAAGGAAAAAUAAACCUCAUCAGAGAAUAACACUUCCAAGAGCUAAUAAAUUAAUUUUAAUGAUCCGAUAUUCGAUCAACGAACCAAGUUACCCUGGGGAUAACAGC